GAUGAACGCUGGCGGCGUGCCUAAUACAUGCAAGUCGAGCGAACGGACGAGAAGCUUGCUUCUCUGAUGUUAGCGGCGGACGGGUGAGUAACAUGUGGAUAACCUACCUAUACGACUGGGAUAACUUCGGGAAACUGGAGAUAACACCGGAUAAUAUUUUGAACCGCAUGGUUCAAAAGUGAAAGACGGUUUUGCUGUCACUUAUAGAUGGAUCGGUGCGGCAUUAGCUAGUUGGUAAGGUAACGGCUUACCAAGGCAACGGUGCAUAGCCCACCUGAGAGAGGGAUCGGCAACACUGGAACUGGGACACGGUCCAGACUCCGACGGGGGGCACAAGUAGGGACUCUUGCGCAAUGAGCGAAAGCCGGACGGAGCAACGCCACGGGGGGGAGGAAGGUCUACGAAUCGUAAAACUCUGUUAUUGGGGAAAAACAUGGGGGUAAUUGACUGUGCACAUCUUGACGGUACCUAAUCAGAAAGCCACGGCUAACUACGUG
rnacentral:rRNA from 1 species